UAGGGAAUAUUCCACAAUGAGCGAAAGCUUGAUGGAGCGACACAGCGUGCACGAUGAAGGUCUUAUGGAUUGUAAAGUGCUGUUGCAAGGGAAGAAAAAGUAGUUGAGGAAAUGCUUCUACAUUGACGGUACCUUGUUAGAAAGCGAUGGCUAACUAUGUGCCAGCAGCCGCGGUAAUACAUAGGUCGCAAGCGUUAUCCGGAAUUAUUGGGCGUAAAGCGUUCGUAGGCUGUUUAUUAAGUCUGGAGUCAAAUCCCAGGGCUCAACCCUGGCUCGCUUUGGAUACUGGUAAACUAGAGUUGGAUAGAGGUAAGCGGAAUUCCAUGUGAAGCGGUGAAAUGCGUAGAUAUAUGGAAGAACACCAAAGGCGAAGGCAGCUUACUGGGUUUAUACUGACGCUGAGGAACGAAAGCGUGGGGAGCAAACAGGAUUAGAUACCCUGGUAGUCCACGCCGUAAACGAUGAUCAUUAGUCGGCAGAGAACUGUUGACGCAGCUAACGCAUUAAAUGAUCCGCCUGAGUAGUAUGCUCGCAAGAGU
rnacentral:rRNA from 1 species